AAAACACCCGGACAGUCUGGUUGAAGACAGGCUGGCGAUGGAAAGGGGGAGGGGUGGAGCUGAAAAUGCCGGGUUUGAAUCGUGGAAUUUAAAAAGGAGGCAGGAAGGGAAACCGCGGCUGCAGAGCUGGGCUGGCUGGAGGGGAGCAUUUGCAUGCGGCGCGCAAGGCACCGAGUCACCGCCGCGGCCGCGUCCUCGCGCUCUCGGGGAGAUUUCUCCGGAGAAAGCGGAGCAAGGUCAGCCGGGUAGCCCUUCAAGGACGGAGCGCGCGGCUCCUGCAUGCUGAUGGCCUGCGGGAUCGCCCGCCCGCGUCCCGGGCGCCCCACUCCAGCAGGGAGGAGAUUCAGGGGCUCUCCGCCAGGGCCACAGGCCUCCUCCCACUCUCCAGCCGCAGCUCCCGCUUGUUCGUCAAAGAAAGACCUCAUUGUCACCGAGACACUGGGACCUUGUCUCAUCCUUGGAACCACUCAUAAAUCUUAGGUCAGGCAGCUGGCCGCCUUCGGGAGCCACUGUCCCCCAAAGCUUUAGUAAGUCACUGUCUAGAAAGGUCUGUGCGUCAAGGGUGCACACCAGGGAAAAAUAAACAGAAAUGCAAUGCCAAAGCCGUACCGCAUCAGAAAUCCUAACCCCGAACUGUGCUCCCCCCUCCUCCCCUCCCCCCGCACCCCACCCCGCACGCCCAGCCACAGCCCUGGCAGCCUGGUGCUGCGAGUCUCCACCGCCUGGGAGUCACGUGCCCCCGGCGGUCACCAAGUAGCCCUCACUGGAUGAUUCUAGGGCGCCCCUUCCCAGGGCCCUCCAGCCAGUCGGGGAGGUUCUAGAGUCAGGUCGGGGCUUCAACUUGGAACUUGACUGGAACUCGAACCUCUCAGCAAGAAAAAGAACUUUGACGGUGAAGUGCCCAGACUCCAAUAUUCUGGUCUCGGCAUUUAAUAGUUUGCUCUUUGAACUGAAAAGACCAAAGAACACAUGGUUAAAUCUCAUGAUUAGGGUUCCACCAAUGUCUUGGAAUUCAUGCUAAUUUACAAGGUGAAAGUAGACCCUGUGCUAUCUAUGUAUCAAAUGCAUAUUAUCCAUGAGGUUGCCAGUAGGCGUUUUAGCCAACGAAAGAAAUAAUACAUAAACAUUUAGAUGGUCCAUUAUUAUUAUAAUCCCCACAUUUGAUCGGUGUCUUGCACAUCAAAGUGCUUGCUUUUGCAUAUACUAAUGAGUUAGCACCUCCUAGGCUCCGGCUAACCCAGUCUACAGUCAAUAGGUUCAAAGCUCAAAGACUGGAAUCCAAGAGGUAGCUCUUUCUCCCACACCCACAGGCAGGGUUGGCUUCCAGGGAGUGGGACCAGUGCCAUAACCCACACCCUCAGCCUUGGCUUAACGUUCCACUCUUACUGUCUUCAAAUUCUCAAUUUUUGAACAAGGAGGCCCAGUACUUCACUUUGCAAUGGGCCACAUAAAUUAUGUAGCAGGUCCAGCACGCAGGCUCAAGUUGACAGAGUCCUAGCUCUUCAUUAGUUGGCCCUUGCCCGCAGUGUGCAUAAGGUAUAUCACCAUCACGCCAGGCAAGACACUCUCUUGUUUCCUUUCCUUUCCUGCUUAUUCUCCACUCACGUCAGGUACCGACACUUAUAGCUGUCUUUGGAUGCAUGCUUCCCUGGAAAAACCAAACGAAUCUAUUUUAAAAUAAUAAAUCCAAAUUAUUCUAAAAAUGUACAGCUUGCUGAGUUUUCACAAGUUAAAUACACCAUGUAAUCGGCGCACACAGAUCAAGAAACAAAAACAUUAUCAGUCCCCCAGAAUCUCCUCCUGCAGCUUUCUAGUUACUACACACUCAAGAAUAACCACCAUUUGACUUCUAACACCAAAGAUCAGUGCUUCCUUUUCUUGCAUUUUAUGGAAGAUGGAAAUGGAAUCAUACAUUAUAUGUUCUUUCAUGUCUGACUGCCUUUGCCCACCAUUGACUGUGAGAUUCAUCCCUGUUGUGUGGUAGGCAGAAUUCUAAGAUGGCCCCCAAGAUUCCUCAUCCUCUCUUGUACUCACAGCCUCUCCCAGUUAUUCAAUUGAACAUUAAUCUAGGUGCUGCUGUAAAGGCAUUUUGCAGAUGUAAUUAAGACCCAAAUCAGUUGGCUUUAAGGUAUGGAGAUUGUUCUCAGUGGACCUGAUCACAUGAGCCCUGAAAAAGGAUGGGGCUUUUUCUGUUGAAAGGGAAAUGAAGUAUGAGAGGAAUUGACACAAGGGAAAUUCUUCAUUGUUGGUUUUGAAGAUUGAGGGGUCCACAUGGAUACAGAUGGCCUCUAGGAGCUGACAUUGGCUCCUGGUGACAGGCAGCAAGGAAAUAGGGACCUCAGUCCUCCAGUCACAAAAAAGGGCCCGAAUCCUGCUAACAACCCAAAUGAACUUGGAAGAGGAUCCUGAGCUUCAGCACCUACACCUUAACUUCAGCCUGUGAGGCCCUCAGCAGAAAACCCAGCUACACCGGGCCCAGAUUUAAGACUAGCACAACUGUGAGCUGGAAGUCAAAGAAGUGUCUUUCACAUACACACAAUCGCAAGCAUCUAUGAUGGAGUCAAGAGUCUGAAGAUCUUGAAACAUGGAGGUCUGCAGUCCCUGUUGUUUCUAUUAAUGGAAACAUGGUUCUAUUUUAAGCCAAAUUGAUCUUAUGAUUGUAGAAUUGCAGCAAAUACUCAGAAGGCCUUGCAAACAAAAGAGUAAACACAUGGAGAACUGGUCCCUCUGCCAGAUUCAGCGAACACCAUUUUUAUAUCCUAAUUGCCGGGAAUGGGGACAGCUGCAUCAUUGUUUAAAACACACACUCAUGCACAAUUAAGCCAAGAAUAAAUGUCAACACUGGCACAAUCUGCUAAAUAACUGAUAACUGAUGGGCAUUACUCAUGCUGUGAGCGUUGUCUCCAAUAGAAAAUGGAAAGAUUCCUAUUUGGAAAAGAUCUUAGAGGUUUCUACUGGUUUAAGAAAGCUGGGUUUACCAAGGGGGAAAGGGGGGUGGUGGGAUGAAUUGGGAGAUUGGAAUUGACAUAUAUAUACUAUUGAUACUAUGUAUAAAAUAGAUACUAAUGAGAACCUACUGUAAAGCUCAGGGAACUCUACUCUGUGCUCUGCGGUGACCUAAAUGGGAAGGGAAUCCAAAAAAGGGGGGAUAUAUGUAUACGUAUAGCUGAUUCACUUCUGUACAGUAGAAACUAACACAGCAUUGUAAAGCAACUAUACUCCAAUAAAAAAUUUUUAAAAAUACA